UACAGAGGUCUCAAGCGUUGUUCGGAUUCAUUGGGCGUAAAGGGUGCGUAGGCGGCGCGGUAAGUCGGGUGUGAAAUCUCGGAGCUUAACUCCGAAACUGCAUUCGAUACUGCCGUGCUUGAGGACUGGAGAGGAGACUGGAAUUUACGGUGUAGCGGUGAAAUGCGUAGAUAUCAGGAGGAACACCGGUGGCGAAGGCGGUUCUCUGGGCCUGUACUGACGCUGAGGAACGAAAGCUAGGGGAGCAAACAGG
rnacentral:rRNA from 1 species